AGAGUUUGAUCAUGGCUCAGAACAAACGCUGGCGGCGUGUCUUAAGCAUGCAAGUUGAGCGGCAAGGGGGAGCAAUCCCCCCCUAGAGCGGCGGACUGGUGAGUAACACGUGGAUAAUCUACCCCAUGGCAUGGGGAUAGCCACUAGAAAUAGUGGGUAAUACCGAAUACGGUGCGUACUGUAAGGGUACGCAAGAAAGGUGCUACGGCACCGGCCUAGGAUGAGUCUGCGUCCCAUUAGCUAGUUGGUGAGGUAAGAGCCCACCAAGGCGAUGAUGGGUAGCCGGCCUGAGAGGGUGUACGGCCACACUGGGACUGAGAUACGGCCCAGACUCCUACGGGAGGCAGCAGCUAAGAAUAUUCCGCAAUGGACGAAAGUCUGACGGAGCGACGCCGCGUGGAUGAAGAAGGCCGAAAGGUUGUAAAGUUCUUUUGUUGGGGAAGAAUAACCAUGGGAGGGAAUGCCCGUGGGAUGACAUGAACCGACGAAUAAGCCCCGGCUAACUACGUGCCAGCAGCCGCGGUAACACGUAGGGGGCGAGCGUUGUUCGGAAUUACUGGGCGUAAAGGGCAUGUAGGCGGCCUUGUAAGCUUGGCGUGAAAGUCCACGGCUUAACCGUGGGAUUGCGUUGAGAACUGCGAGGCUUGAGUGACGGAGAGGGAGCUAGAAUUCCUGGUGUAGGGGUGGAAUCUGUAGAGAUCAGGAAGAAUACCAAUGGCGAAGGCAAGCUCCUGGCCGAUGACUGACGCUGAGGUGCGAAAGUGUGGGGAUCAAACAGGAUUAGAUACCCUGGUAGUCCACACUGUAAACGAUGUGCACUAGGUACUGGUACGGAUGUAUCAGUGCCGUAGCUAACGUGAUAAGUGCACCGCCUGGGGAGUAUGCUCGCAAGGGUGAAACUCAAAUGAAUUGACGG
rnacentral:rRNA from 1 species